rnacentral:rRNA from 1 species
GUGCCAGCCGCCGCGGUAAUACGGAGGGGGUUAGCGUUGUUCGGAAUUACUGGGCGUAAAGCGCGCGUAGGCGGACAUUUAAGUCAGGGGUGAAAUCCCGGGGCUCAACCCCGGAACUGCCCUUGAUACUGGGUGUCUAGAGUUCGAGAGAGGUGAGUGGAAUUCCGAGUGUAGAGGUGAAAUUCGUAGAUAUUCGGAGGAACACCAGUGGCGAAGGCGGCUCACUGGCUCGAUACUGACGCUGAGGUGCGAAAGUGUGGGGAGCAAACAGGAUUAGAAACCCGAGUAGUCC